CGCGCCCCGCGCCCCGCACGGCUGCACCGCCUCGGCGCUUGUCAUUCUCCGCGGCGCGGCGGCGAGUGCUGACUGCGUUGCGUGCCUGCCUUCCCGCUAGCUUGUCGGCGCGCCCGCGAUGUGAUCGACCGCCUGGGAGCGGACUGGCAGCUCUCCCCGCUACAGCGCCUCGGCUUUUCCCUGGCCGCCUUCCUUGUUGAGCCCCGAUUCCCUCGGAGCCGGAGACACGCACCAGGGGCUCGAAGCGCCGCACUCCGGGACUGGCGGCAGCUGCAGCGCUCGGGACCGCGCGGCAGGGUGCAACCUCUGUCGUCGCCGCCGCCGCCGCGCUUGGCACCGCGGAGCCAAGGCGGCUGGUGCAGAGCGGCAGCACCUCGCCCCGCACCCGCCGCCGCCCGGGCAGUGCGGGGCCGCGGGGCGCUCUGUGCGCAGCGGGAGCGCGGUCCCCCCCGAAGGCUCCCCGUCGCCUGCGUCCCAAAAGCACGAGGUCAUUCUCUUCUUUCAGCCGGUGAGUGCAACUUCAGAGCUGGGAGAGAGUGAUUGCAAGGAGUGGAAUUACUGGGUAAAAUCACUCGAUGUUUCACUUUUUGAGGAACAAACAGGCUGUUUUCAAAGUGGCUGUACCAUUUUACAUCCCCAUCAGCCAGGCCAAGAAGUACGGAAGAACAUUCACCACCACAACGUUUCAAAGGGAAUACAUUGCCAGCAUUUUAAAUACUUAUUUGGACAAACAUUUCUCCAAGGAGGACGCAGCCCUCUGCCCCCAUGUCGCCACCUUGGAAGGACUGACCAAAUCCAGCAGCCUGUGCCACUUACCACCCACUAUGGGACCCGAGGGAAGCUUGCUGAGUGGGGGACAAAUGCAGAUCACCCUGUGGGGAAGCCUGGCAGCUGUGGCCACCUUCUUCCUCAUCACCUUCCUCAUCUUUCUGUGCUCCAGUUGUGACAGGGAAAAGAAGCCGAGACAGCACAGCGGAGAUCAUGAGAACCUGAUGAACGUGCCUUCCGACAAGGAGAUGUUCAGCCGUUCAGUUACCAGCCUGGCCACAGACGCACCUGCCAGCAGCGAACAGAAUGGGGCACUCACCAACGGUGACAUUCUUUCAGAAGACAGCACCAUGACCUGCAUGCAGCAUUACGAGGAAGUCCAGACCUCAGCUUCAGAUCUGCUAGACUCCCAGGACAGCACAGGGAAGCCAAAGUGUCAUCAGAGCCGGGAGUUGCCCAGAAUUCCCCCUGAGAGUGAAGUGGACACGACGCUCAAUGGAGAAAGCGCGGACGGGGACCAGCGUCUGGGGAUGGAGGGGCCGUAUGAAGUGCUCAAGGACAGUGCCUCACAAGAAAAUAUGGUGGAGGACUGCUUGUAUGAAACCGUGAAAGAAAUUAAGGAGGUGACGGCCGCCGCCCACUCAGCUCGGGGCCACAGCAGCAGGUCGAAGUCAACUUCCACUGUGAAGGAGCUUCCGGGGCCCCAGGCCAGCGGCAAAACAGACUUUGCCGAAUACGCCUCUGUGGACAGAAACAAAAAGUGUCGACAAAGUGCUAAUGCAGAGAGUAUUCUUGGAAAUCCAUGUGAUCCAGAAGAGGAGGCGCCACCCCCUGUCCCCAUUAAACUUCUGGAUGAAAAUGAAAACCUUCAGGAGCAGGCAGAGAGUAAAGCAGGAGAAGAAGGAGCCGCUGAGGGGACCAGUGAAACCAACAAGAGAUUUAGUUCGUUGUCAUACAAGUCCCGGGAAGAAGACCCAACUCUCACAGAAGAAGAGUAUCACAGACCCGGCCUGGCAGCAUGGAACUGUUCCCCAGCACCUCCUGGCACGAAGACAGCUCUGCCCAGCUCACGUUUUCCAGCGUCAUGGGCUAUCUCGAUAAGGCACAGAUCCACCUGGGGAAGCAGAUGCUGGGUGUUACUUGCCAUGAACUUUGCUAAACCAUGUUCACUCUUGCCCACAUCUUUCGUGAGAAUGGUUGGCGCUAAGGAGCCGUGGAGAAGAACUUUUUAAGAAUUCUGUUGAGGACUCAGACUCACAGAUGCAGAAAAAUGAGCCCUGCGCUCUAACCAGAUGAACCUGACAUGAUGAUCAUGACCCAUCCAGUAAGUGUGCUUGCUUUUUUCGCAUUCAUCUUUUUAAAUAUAAGCUUCUCUGUUUUUCCUGGAGCCAUGCUCGAAACUGAACUCCUGUGGGCCACUGCACGGCUGCCUCCUGAUGUCCUGGCGAUUUGGUGGCACCAUCAGCAGUGCUUUGCUCUCAGGGAGAAGCUCGUGGAACAUGUUGGGGAAGUUGAAUUUUACAUCCACGUCAACAGGCAUUUCAAAGAGUCCUGUAUGCCUCAGAUUUUUGACACUUUUUAAAAAUUUUUCUGUAUUUUUUUCUGAGUACCAACUACAUAUUUGAUUCUCAGGGGGUGGGUAGGGCAGGAAUUAGAAGUAAAAUUUGAACUAAGUGAUGUGGGAAAGACUUCCUGCCCCUGUGUGUGUGACUCUGGAAAAUGUUUUAUUCCAAUGCCCUACCUACCACUCUGAGUCUCUUGAGAAGCACACUGUAAAUGUACAUAAGAUUAAGAAAGAAUAUCUCAAAGACUUAAAUUAUUGUUUAGGUAUUUUCUUCUUUGUAAACUCAGGAAUAAACCUGGUUUGUGCAUGGCAUAAUAUGGCUACUAAAGCUAUAAUCUGUAGGCAACUAGGUGCAUUCUUUCAAAUAUGUUUCAUUCUAACUUUUUUUAAAACUGGGGAAAGAAACUCCUAGUAAUGAAAAAACAAAACCAACAAGAGACUUCCAUAAACUCUUUCUAGAAGAACAUAGCAUCAGUCUGACAUCUGCCCCAGAGUGUUUGUUUCUUGCCUAUAGUAUUUCAACAAUUUUUAUGGGAGAAAAAAAUGCACGUUUUUAUGUCUUGGAAAAAUGAAGUAUUGAAUUAAAUUCUCAGAGGGGACAAUUUAGUUUAAAGAGAAGCAUUGGUUUUGGAAAUGAACUCAUGGCUCCGUGGUCCCCAUUCCAGCAUUGACUUUACUGUGUGACCUUGAGCAAAUGAUUAACUACUCCGUGCCUCAGUUUCUCCAUAUACAAAAUGGGGAUAAUGAUACCAACCAUUGCCUACCUCAUAGGGAUGUUAUGGGGACAAAUGAGAUAAUAUAAAUACAAAUGCUUUGAAUUCUGUAAGAAAGGUGCUAUAUAAGUUGAAAUUGUGUUGUUUUUAAUGAUUCAAUUAUUAAUUAUGUUUAGGGUUUAAAUAAUAGCAAUACUGUUAGUCAUGGUAAGAAUAAGUUUCAACUUGAUGCAUAUUUACAAUUCUCUUCUGUGGCCAGAUCUUGAUCAUUUAUCCAGUAAUGGUACCUAAGGAACUGAAAUGGAUAUUUGUUUUCUGUGUAUUUCUGCCCAUAGUAUUUCUAUGCUGAAUGUUCCCAAAAGGCUGGAGUUCAACUUGUCAUAUCUUACAGUUUACAUGUAAUGAACCUUACUCAAGCUGUAUAUAAAAGUAUAAUUACAUGUAAAUAGCAGGUACAUUGUAAUUAAAGGCACUUAUCAACUUGUCUUUGUUCUUUUUUA